rnacentral:lncRNA from 1 species
UCCGUCUCUCAAAUGCUCUCUAACUCUAACCCUAAUUUCCCCUGCUAUCACUCAUCUACUGCUGUUUAUUGUGGUUCUUCACCACCGCAUGCCUCUAAUGACCUCUCUUAUGCUUGGUACCUCCAUCUCCAGGGUCCUUGAGGAGAUUCUCUAGGGACCAGGGCUAGUCUGUUAUGCACAUGCUUUACUAUAAUCUUUGCUCCAUGUCUCAAUCAUCUACCCUUGUAACUAAGUUAUUAAUUCUACAAACUCUUAAGAAUUAUGUGCAUCUUGUUGAUUCUAUACUCCACUAUAUAUUGAGGUGUAUUCUAUG